AUCUCUCCCCUAUCUAUAUAUUCACAACCCAAGUUCCCCUGAAUCUCAUAUCUCUCUCUCUCUUAUUAGGGUUUCUCGAAACUUCCCAUAGAGUUCCAGAAAAGCUUAAUAUUAAUAUCAAAUUAGGGGUUUCGAUUUGUAACUCAAAAAUCAUGGCUGGAGGAGGAAAUUUCAUUGGUAGAGUUAUGUCUUAUGUUGUUAAUGAAUUAGUCGUUAAUGGCUUAGCAAACAGUGUUGCAUUCCAGAGGUUUGCUGUUAGGACAUCAAAGAGAAUUGAAACUGUACAAAAUCUAGCUGCAAAGAAGAAACAAGAACUCACGGAACAAGUGAAGGAUAUUUCUAAGAAUUUCAAAGAGUGAUAAGUAUGGCCAAGUAAUAUUUUCUGUUUUUUGUUGGUAACUCUCUGUAUAUGAAGUGAAGUGACUCAAAUUGUUCUUUUUACGUCUGGAUUGUAAAGAAUGGGCUCCCUUUUGUUGAACAAUGGAGCUGAUACAUUAUAAUAAGAUAGAUAAAUUGAUUGGUCUGCAAACCUUACAUGUAAGGUUAUUUUAAUCAUUUUGGUAAAGGAAGUUUCAUUGUAGUUUUAUGUUGUUACUGUUGUUGGAUUACAAUCCAGAUAGAAUAAGGUAAUUUUUGUAGGCUUCUUAAUCUGGUCAGCAGGAUUGUUUAUGGUUCCUGGUUGACUCGUUCCAUGAAGCGAUAUGUAUAUUUCAAUUGUUCUUAGUAAUAAGCUGUACUGGAAUAAAGAUAAUACUUUUUCCAGUUUGAAAUAGUUGAUUACAUCUUUUACAUAAAAAUAUAUUAUUUUUUUGGUC